rnacentral:lncRNA from 1 species
CUAAUUUUUCUGUGUGAAAACAUUAUUAUUAUUUUUUUUCAUUGGUUCAAUCAAAAUAUUUGUGAGAAUAUAAUCACCGAACAUUUCGUAAUGAGUAUCAUUGUAUUCACUAAUAAUUUCUAAUAGUAUGUUUGAUAAGAGUUGGAGUGGAGUUACCUAGCCCUUGCUUCGUCAAAUUAUUUGAUUAAAAUGUGUACCCUCAACAAAACCAAUUGAGCUAGAAUUGGUUCUUGAGGCAAAUUGACAUAAAUAAAUAUAUUUAAUUGACAUCAAUAAAUAUAUUUGCCAUCAUUGUGCAUGAAUAUUUUUCUGGGUUUUAUGUUUUAUAAUCUCUUAUCGAUUUUAGGCGUGUCUUCUUUAAAGGAAUCAUCUAUGUAUUUGAAACCGUUUUGCAAUGGUAUUACGGAACCAGCCUUAAAAAUCUGAAUUUGACUUAUUACUCAAAAAAUAAUUAUAGGGACUAGAUAAAAUGUCAUGCCUAUUGUAAUAUAAAGAUGGAAUAAAAUUUAUUACAAGGAAAGAAAGAGAAAUAGAAAGAGAUUUAAAUAUAUAUAACGAAGGGAAUAGAAUGAGUAAUUUUAGUAGU